AGGUGCCCGUACCGCAAACCGACACAGGUAGGUAGGAAGAAGAUUCUAAGGCCAACGGGAGAAGGGUUGUUAAGGAACUCGGCAAGUUGACCCCGUAACUUCGGAAUAAGGGGUGCUCAUGAAAGUGAGCCGCAGAGAAUAGGCCCAGGCAACUGUUUACCAAAAACACAGGUUUGUGCUAAAUCGAAAGAUGACGUAUACGAGCUGACGCCUGCCCGGUGCUGGAAGGUUAAGAGGAGAUGUGCAAGCAUUGAAUCGAAGCCCCAGUGAACGGCGGCCGUAACUAUAACGGUCCUAAGGUAGCGAAAUUCCUUGUCAGGUAAGUUCUGACCCGCACGAAAGGCGUAAUGAUUUGGGCACUGUCUCAACAGCCCGCCCGGCGAAAUUGUAGUACCGGUGAAGAUGCCGGUUACCCGCGACAAGACGGAAAGACCCCAUGGAGCUUUACUGUAGCCUAAUAUUGGGUUUCGAUGUUGCAUGCACAGGAUAGAUGGGACACUGGGAAACAAUCGCUUUGGCGGUUGCGGAGUGGCCGUUGGGAUACCAUCCUUGCGAUAUUGGAAUUCUAACCUGCGGCUCUGAAUCGAGUCGGGGGACAUUGUUAGGUGGGCAGUUUGACUGGGGCGGUCGCCUCCUAAAAAGUAACGGAGGCGUUCAAAGGUUCGCUCAGCUUGAACGGAAAUCAAGCAAAAGAGUGCAAACGCAGAAGCGAGCCUAACUGCGAGACUGACGGGUCGAGCAGUAACGAAAGUUGGAGUUAGUGAUCCGGUGGUAUGUGAGUGGAAAUGCCAUCGCUCAACGGAUAAAAGCUACCCUGGGGAUAACAGGCUGAUCUCCCCCAAGAGUCCACAUCGACGGGGAGGUUUGGCACCUCGAUGUCGGCUCAUCGCAUCCUGGGGCUGAAUUCGGUCCCAAGGGUUUGGCUGUUCGCCAAUUAAAGCGGUACGCGAGCUGGGUUCAGAACGUCGUGAGACAGUUCGGUCCCUAUCUGUCGUGGGCGCAGGAUAUUUGA
rnacentral:rRNA from 1 species